AUGGACAUACAUCUUUUAGAUCUCUUCGACUGUCUCUGCAAAGCCCGAUUACGAGCUCCAGUAGCAAUGCUGCUUUUUUGCACAAAACUAUCAAGAAGAAUCCAGUUAUCAACUUUCACAUUUUUUGACCCCUGCAUAUAUUUCUGAGCUGAAUCACCAUGUUGGAGAAGAUCGUGCAAAAUAUCGUUAGCAGUCGUGUUUUUACCAGAAAUCUCAGUGGUAAUUUUCAGAAGAUUAUCGUCUACUGAAUGGGAUAUCUGAAGGUAUGCUGGAUUAUUUAGUUCAACAUCUUGAGCAGAUGUAUGGCCAGAAAAAGAUAUAUGGCCUUUUUUGGAUGACGGAGCUGAGGAAGUAGUCGUUGAUUUGAGUGGCGAAGGCGAAGAAUUGAUACUCUGGGUGGUGACUCCAAUGUUGUUUUCAGCUAGAGUUUUUGUUGUAGUAACAGCGACUCUCUUGUUCUUGUGCUGCUGUUGAUGAAUUUCAGCUUUUGCUUGAGCAAAUCUUCGCUCUAAUGCCUCCAUCGUUCGUUUCUUUUGUUGUUCAGCCAUUGUUUCAUUCGCCAUUGUUGUGCUCCCCUCUCUCCUUCAAGCUUUAUAUUUGGUAAUACUAAUAAUAAUAACAAUUGAAAAUUAAGCAAAAUUGUGUUAAAUUGAUAGAUAUGAGAAUGUUUGGGUCAAUUCACUUAAAUGGCCAAGAUACAAUCCAGACAAAUCUUAUAUGAUUUAACA
rnacentral:misc_RNA from 1 species